GACGAACGCUGGCGGCGUGCCUAAUACAUGCAAGUAGAACGCUGAAGAGAGGAGCUUGCUCUUCUUGGAUGAGUUGCGAACGGGUGAGUAACGCGUAGGUAACCUGCCUUGUAGCGGGGGAUAACUAUUGGAAACGAUAGCUAAUACCGCAUAACAAUGGAUGACACAUGUCAUUUAUUUGAAAGGGGCAAUUGCUCCACUACAAGAUGGACCUGCGUUGUAUUAGCUAGUAGGUGAGGUAAUGGCUCACCUAGGCGACGAUACAUAGCCGACCUGAGAGGGUGAUCGGCCACACUGGGACUGAGACACGGCCCAGACUCCUACGGGAGGCAGCAGUAGGGAAUCUUCGGCAAUGGGGGCAACCCUGACCGAGCAACGCCGCGUGAGUGAAGAAGGGUUUCGGAUCGUAAAGCUCUGUUGUAAGUCAAGAACGGGUGUGAGAGUGUAAAGUUCACACUGUGACGGUAGCUUACCAGAAAGGGACGGCUAACUACGUG
rnacentral:rRNA from 1 species